rnacentral:lncRNA from 1 species
GUAGGCACAUGGCAAAGCUGCUCUCAUACUGUGCGCACACACGUGCUCAUACGUAAGUCCAUUUUAUCAGAGCAGUGGAUGUGAGGGGAGGGCGAAGCAAGCUUGGAAAGGAAGAAGAGCCCCCAUGAAGAAGCUUCCCGAGUCUCACCACUCACAAUCAUCCCAGAGGACUCAAUCAAGGUCAUCAAAUUACCCAAUGAGCUGCAGGCAGAAAGCAUUAGAAUUUUGGAUCUCAAUAUCCGUCACGGGCUCAUGUGUUUGAACACUGCUAGCUGAUACUACUGUUCGGAGAGAUGGCAGAACUUUCGGGAGGUGAGAUUUAGCUGGAAGAAUUAGGACUUAAGGCCAUUGCUGGAUCAAGGAAGAAAGCAGAACAGGUGAACAGGAGCAGCCAUCUCCCCAGCAGACCCAAGAGAGCAUCAUACAUAGUAAACGGAAUCUCUCCACACUGGGAUUCUAUUGCAACAACUGGAUGCUCCCCUACUGUGUAAGCUGUCUCAGACAAACCCCACAGAACAGAUGGAACAACCCACCACUCCAAACAUCUCUUCCUGGCUCUUUGCUGGAACCCCAGGGGGCAAGAUAUCCACAACCACUAGAAACAAUGUCUUCCGACUCCUAAGCAGACACUGUGUCAGCCUCCAGCCUCCCACCGGCUGCAAAGAAUAAAAAUAAAUGAACCAAAGACCAGACCAUCUUGAAACUUUUAAAAGUUGAUGCCUGCAUUUGUUGGUACAAUGAGAAUGGACAGAACCUGGACUUUGCUGGAAGGGGCCUGGAGAUUGGGGGGUGGAGGUUACAUUGUCAUUUCUGCACAGAAUAGUUCUGCAUUCUGUGUUCUGUGGCAGAAAGGCAGCAAGUGCUAGUUUUGGCCUUCUGUCCCAGGCAGUACUUUGGGAGAUUCUAGUGUAAAGCUUUUAUGCUUUUUCUCCAGGUUCUUUCAGUUACUGUAACUUCUGCUCCAAGGGGGUGAAAUUAGAAGUAAAUUCUUUCUGCCUUAUGCUUUGGAUUCCCCAGAGUCUGAGAAGGAGUCAGAUUGUCAUUAAGGCUCUGCAUCUCCCCAGGGUGGCUGAGAUGGCUCCCCCCCCCUCCCCCCGAAGGAAUACCUUCUGGCU